CGCACGUUCCAAGUCGCCGGUAUAACGGCUCCCAUCCACAACAAUGAUUCAUCAAAUCGAAUUCAUUACUGUAGCUCUUCACAUCCCUUAUCUUCCCCCAAUAUAUUUCUCUCUGAUUUUUGCUUCUUUUAUGCUAUCUCUUCACAUCCCGUACAUUCACCUUCUAUAUGUCUAUCCUCUUUUUGAUUCUCACCACUCUACAGGGCCACCAAAAGAAAUCUCAUGCAUCAAUCAAAGAAAACGUCAAAAUAUACGAGAUGGCUAUGGCUUCUCUAAUCUUCAACGAUAUUGUCCCAGGCUUGAGGGAGGCGACGCUGAACUUCAGUUGACAUCCUUCGAUUGAUAGAGUAGUAACCUAUCAACGGUGCCAAUUUGUUAUGAUAGGGUACUCUAGGGUAAUCAAGAAGAGAAGAGAUGGUUUCACCUAUGGCUUAGACGAGAAGAGAGGAAAACCGCUUUCUCUGAAAUACAGCUUGGAGGAGUUGCAGACAAUUGUCGAUGAUAUGGACUAUGGAUUACGACUUACGAUCAGAACCGUUAGUCGGAGAGUUCUUUGAUUAUAAUGUUGGGAUGGGGUUGAAAUCAGAGGAUUUAUGUAACGGAGAGAAGGGUUAGGCUGAUAAUUUUAAUACUUGGUGUGGCUCAACAUUGUCGUUGAUGUAUACAUGGGAAGAACCUGAGCAGAUAGAUUGUUGAGAGCCGUUGCAGUGUGCUUCCUGGUUUGAAAACAGCUGUUCCUUAUGAUUAUCUUGACUUUAGUUCUGGUAGUGAUUGGGAUCAAGUUUUUAAGAAAGCGGAAGAGGAGUUUCAGAAAGAGAAUUAGAGGUCGGAUGAAGUUGUUUGAGCUUUUUUUUCCACUUCAUCUUCCUCUUUAAAGUGUUGUCUUCAUGUUCUUAAAGUUGUAACCUUGAUUGUGUUUGUUGUGCCUCUUUGUUACUUUUUGGCAUUAUUUAUUUUCUAAGCAAUGGACCAGUACGAUCCAGUUAGGUUGAA